rnacentral:miRNA from 1 species
AGAUGGUAAAACUUGACACU